rnacentral:rRNA from 1 species
GGAUUAGAUACCCUGGUAGUCCACGCCGUAAACGAUGAGUGCUAGGUGUUGGGGGUUUCGACACCCUCAGUGCUGAAGUUAACACAUUAAGCACUCCGCCUGGGGAGUACGGCCGCAAGGCUGAAACUCAAAGGAAUUGACGGGGGCCCGCACAAGCGGUGGAGCAUGUGGUUUAAUUCGAAGCAACGCGAAGAACCUUACCAGGGCUUGACAUCCCGGUGCCACCUCCAGAGAUGGAGGGUUCUCUUCGGAGACACCGGUGACAGGUGGUGCAUGGUUGUCGUCAGCUCGUGUCGUGAGAUGUUGGGUUAAGUCCCGCAACGAGCGCAACCCUUGACCUUAGUUGCCAGCAUUCAGUUGGGCACUCUAAGGUGACUGCCGGUGACAAACCGGAGGAAGGUGGGGAUGACGUCAAAUCAUCAUGCCCCUUAUGUCCUGGGCUACACACGUGCUACAAUGGGCAGUACAAAGGGUUGCGAACCCGCGAGGGGGAGCUAAUCCCAAAAAGCUGCUCUCAGUUCGGAUUACAGGCUGCAACUCGCCUGCAUGAAGCUGGAAUCGCUAGUAAUCGCGGACCAGCAUGCCGCGGUGAAUACGUUCCCGGGCCUUGUACACACCGCCCGUCACACCACGAGAGUCUGUAACACCCGAAGUCGGUGAGGUAACCCUCUGAGAGCCAGCCGCCGAAGGUGGGACAGAUGAUUGGGGUGAAGUCGUAACAAG